AUCAAGUUGACGAGUCCCAAAUAGGACGAAACGUGCAUCAUAGAU
rfam:Schistosoma haematobium scaffold247_43, whole genome shotgun sequence.